CCCCCAGGAGCCAUUGACAACCAGCGGUGUCUGUCAGUAUACCUUCCAGCAGGUUGUGGCUCGCCCAGCAACACAGUGUGCUCAUCCAGCAAUCCUGUCGAUGAUCAGUCGUUCCUUCGUACCAUUCGUCUCAAUCUUGAUAUACCAUUCGGUCCUGGUCGCGACGAUUGUAGUUGUUUCCUGCCUGACUUCCAUUCCCUCGAACAAGAAAGUGGAUAGAUCCUUUCCUUGUUGAGUACAGAAUGCUUCCAUGAGUUUUUUGAGCUGAGUGGUACAUGUCCGGUUUUCUUGCAGCAUCUGAUCCAUGGCUAUUGAUGAAAGAAAUUCGUCACAGAGGGACCGGUGGUUGAUGCUAUUAUCAGAGAGUAUGUUAGAUUACGUGAAAGAACUCAAAUAUUCAAUGGGUUUACAACACUCAAAGAAAAAAAGAUAAAAGGGGACUUACAGAGGAUUGUGGGAACAGAAGAUUGUGGAAAGUGUUACUAAGCUGCGGCAGCUGUCUUUGUAUCAUCACAACACACAAGGAAUUUUUUUAUAAUAGAAAAGUAGAAGGG
rnacentral:sRNA from 1 species